rnacentral:rRNA from 1 species
GACGAACGCUGGCGGCGUGCUUAACACAUGCAAGUCGAACGGAAAGGCCCUGCUUUUGUGGGGUGCUCGAGUGGCGAACGGGUGAGUAACACGUGAGUAACCUGCCCUUGACUUUGGGAUAACUUCAGGAAACUGGGGCUAAUACCGGAUAGGAGCUCCUGCUGCAUGGUGGGGGUUGGAAAGUUUCGGCGGUUGGGGAUGGACUCGCGGCUUAUCAGCUUGUUGGUGGGGUAGUGGCUUACCAAGGCUUUGACGGGUAGCCGGCCUGAGAGGGUGACCGGCCAAAUUGGGACUGAGAUACGGCACAGACUCCUACGGGAGGCAGCAGUGGGGAAUAUUGCACAAUGGGCGGAAGCCUGAUGCAGCAACGCCGCGUGCGGGAUGACGGCCUUCGGGUUGUAAACCGCUUUCGCCUGUGACGAAGCGUGAGUGACGGUAAUGGGUAAAGAAGCACCGGCUAACUACGUG